rnacentral:tRNA from 1 species
GCCCCCGUAGCUCAGCGGAUAGAGCAGCCGCCUUCUAAGCGGUUGGUCGCAGGUUCGAUCCCUGCCGGGGGCA